GAAAUGCGAUAAGUAGUGUGAAUUGCAGAAUUCAGUGAGUCAUCGAAUCUUUGAACGCACAUUGCGCCCCUUGGUAUUCCAUGGGGCAUGCCUGUUCGAGCGUCAUUUGUACCCUCAAGCUCUGCUUGGUGUUGGGUGUUUGUCCCCGUCUCCGCGCGUGGACUCGCCCCAAAGUGAUUGGCAGCCGGCGUACUGGUCCCGGAGCGCAGCACAUGUCGCGCAAACGAGUGCCUUGGUACGGCGGCGUCCAUAAGCCCCUCUCUCACGCUCUUGACCUCGGAUCAGGUAGGGAUACCCGCUGAACUUAAGC
rnacentral:misc_RNA from 1 species